rnacentral:rRNA from 1 species
AUUGAACGCUGGCGGCAGGCCUAACACAUGCGAGUCGAACGGUAACAGGAAGCAGCUUGCUGCUUCGCUGACGAGUGGCGGACGGGUGAGUAAUGUCUGGGAAGCUGCCUGAUGGAGGGGGAUAACUACUGGAAACGGUAGCUAAUACCGCAUAAUGUCGCAAGACCAAAGAGGGGGACCUUCGGGCCUCUUGCCAUCGGAUGUGCCCAGAUGGGAUUAGCUUGUUGGUGGGGUAACGGCUCACCAAGGCGACGAUCCCUAGCUGGUCUGAGAGGAUGACCAGCCACACUGGGACUGAGACACGGUCCAGACUCCUACGGGAGGCAGCAGUGGGGAAUAUUGCACAAUGGGCGCAAGCCUGAUGCAGCCAUGCCGCGUGUAUGAAGAAGGCCUUCGGGUUGUAAAGUACUUUCAGCGGGGAGGAAGGGAGUAAAGUUAAUACCUUUGCUCAUUGACGUUACCCGCAGAAGAAGCACCGGCUAACUCCGUG